AUUGAACGCUGGCGGCAGGCUUAACACAUGCAAGUCGAGCGGAAACGAUGGGAGCUUGCUCCCAGGCGUCGAGCGGCGGACGGGUGAGUAACACUUAGGAAUCUACCUAGUAGUGGGGGAUAGCUCGGGGAAACUCGAAUUAAUACCGCAUACGUCCUACGGGAGAAAGGGGGCAACUUGUUGCUCUCGCUAUUAGAUGAGCCUAAGUCGGAUUAGCUAGUUGGUGGGGUAAAGGCCUACCAAGGCGACGAUCUGUGGCUGGUCUGAGAGGAUGAUCAGCCACACCGGGACUGAGACACGGCCCGGACUCCUACGGGAGGCAGCAGUGGGGAAUAUUGGACAAUGGGGGCAACCCUGAUCCAGCCAUGCCGCGUGUGUGAAGAAGGCCUUUUGGUUGUAAAGCACUUUAAGCAGUGAAGAAGACCUAACGGUUAAUACCCGUUAGCGAUGACAUUAGCUGCAGAAUAAGCACCGGCUAACUCUGUGCCAGCAGCCGCGGUAAUACAGAGGGUGCAAGCGUUAAUCGGAAUUACUGGGCGUAAAGCGAGCGUAGGUGGCUUGAUAAGUCAGAUGUGAAAUCCCCGGGCUUAACCUGGGAACUGCAUCUGAUACUGUUAGGCUAGAAUAGGUGAGAGGAAGGUAGAAUUCCAGGUGUAGCGGUGAAAUGCGUAGAGAUCUGGAGGAAUACCGAUGGCGAAGGCAGCCUUCUGGCAUCAUAUUGACACUGAGGUUCGAAAGCGUGGGUAGCAAACAGG
rnacentral:rRNA from 1 species